GAUAGGAAUAUUGGACAAUGGGCGAAAGCCUGAUCCAGCCAUGCCGCGUGAACGAUGAAGGCCUUCGGGUUGUAAAGUUCUUUAGCCGAUGAUUAUAAUGACUGUAGUCGGAAAAUAAGCCCCGGCUAACUUCGUGCCAGCAGCCGCGGUAAUACGAAGGGGGCGAGCGUUAUUCGGAAUCACUGGGCGUAAAGCGUGCGUAGGCGGUUUUGUAAGUUAGGAGUGAAAGCCCAGGGCUCAACCUUGGAAUUGCUCUUAAAACUGCAAGGCUCGAAUCUCGGAGAGGAUAGCGGAAUUUCCAGUGUAGCAGUGAAAUGCGUAGAUAUUGGAAGGAACACCAGUGGCGUAAGCGGCUAUCUGGACGAGUAUUGACGCUGAGGCACGAAAGCGUGGGGAUCAAACAGGAUUAGAAACCCGGGUAGUCC
rnacentral:rRNA from 1 species